UACGUAGGUGGCAAGCGUUGUCCGGAUUUAUUGGGCGUAAGGCGCCCGCAGGCGGCUUGAUAAGUUUCAGGUGAAAUCUCCCGGCUCAACCGGGAGGGUGCCUGGAAAACUAUCAGGCUUGAGUCAUGGAGAGGGAUGCGGAAUUCCUGGUGUAGAGGUGAAAUUCGUAGAUAUCAGGAGGAACACCAGUGGCGAAGGCGGCUUCCUGGACACCAACUGACGCUGAGACGCGAAAGCGUGGGGAGCAAACAGG
rnacentral:rRNA from 1 species